CCUACGGGUGGCUGCAGUGAGGAAUAUUGGUCAAUGGACGAGAGUCUGAACCAGCCAAGUAGCGUGAAGGAUGACUGCCCUAUGGGUUGUAAACUUCUUUUAUAUGGGAAUAAAAUGUUCCACGUGUGGGAUUUUGUAUGUACCAUAUGAAUAAGGAUCGGCUAACUCCGUGCCAGCAGCCGCGGUAAUACGGAGGAUCCGAGCGUUAUCCGGAUUUAUUGGGUUUAAAGGGAGCGUAGGUGGAUUGUUAAGUCAGUUGUGAAAGUUUGCGGCUCAACCGUAAAAUUGCAGUUGAAACUGGCAGUCUUGAGUACAGUAGAGGUGGGCGGAAUGCGUGGUGUAGCGGUGAAAUGCUUAGAUAUCACGAAGAACUCCGAUUGCGAAGGCAGUUCACUGGACUGCAACUGACACUGAGGCUCGAAAGUGUGGGUAUCAAACAGGAUUAGAUACCCUUGCAGUC
rnacentral:rRNA from 1 species